AGAGUUUGAUCCUGGCUCAGGAUGAACGCCGGCGGUGUGCCUAAUACAUGCAAGUCGUACGCACUGGCCCAACUGAUUGAUGGUGCUUGCACCUGAUUGACGAUGGAUCACCAGUGAGUGGCGGACGGGUGAGUAACACGUAGGUAACCUGCCUCGGAGCGGGGGAUAACAUUUGGAAACAGAUGCUAAUACCGCAUAACAACAAAAGCCACAUGGCUUUUGUUUGAAAGAUGGCUUUGGCUAUCACUCUGGGAUGGACCUGCGGUGCAUUAGCUAGUUGGUAAGGUAACGGCUUACCAAGGCAAUGAUGCAUAGCCGAGUUGAGAGACUGAUCGGCCACAAUGGAACUGAGACACGGUCCAUACUCCUACGGGAGGCAGCAGUAGGGAAUCUUCCACAAUGGGCGCAAGCCUGAUGGAGCAACACCGCGUGAGUGAAGAAGGGUUUCGGCUCGUAAAGCUCUGUUGUUGGAGAAGAACGUGCGUGAGAGUAACUGUUCACGCAGUGACGGUAUCCAACCAGAAAGUCACGGCUAACUACGUGCCAGCAGCCGCGGUAAUACGUAGGUGGCAAGCGUUAUCCGGAUUUAUUGGGCGUAAAGCGAGCGCAGGCGGUUGCUUAGGUCUGAUGUGAAAGCCUUCGGCUUAACCGAAGAAGUGCAUCGGAAACCGGGCGACUUGAGUGCAGAAGAGGACAGUGGAACUCCAUGUGUAGCGGUGGAAUGCGUAGAUAUAUGGAAGAACACCAGUGGCGAAGGCGGCUGUCUGGUCUGCAACUGACGAUGAGGCUCGAAAGCAUGGGUAGCGAACAGGAUUAGAUACCCUGGUAGUCCAUGCCGUAAACGAUGAGUGCUAGGUGUUGGAGGGUUUCCGCCCUUCAGUGCCGGAGCUAACGCAUUAAGCACUCCGCCUGGGGAGUACGACCGCAAGGUUGAAACUCAAAGGAAUUGACGGGGGCCCGCACAAGCGGUGGAGCAUGUGGUUUAAUUCGAAGCUACGCGAAGAACCUUACCAGGUCUUGACAUCUUGCGCUAACCUUUGAGAUAAGGCGUUCCCUUCGGGGACGCAAUGACAGGUGGUGCAUGGUCGUCGUCAGCUCGUGUCGUGAGAUGUUGGGUUAAGUCCCGCAACGAGCGCAACCCUUGUUACUAGUUGCCAGCAUUAAGUUGGGCACUCUAGUGAGUCUGCCGGUGGCAAACCGGAGGAAGGUGGGGACGACGUCAGAUCAUCAUGCCCCUUAUGACCUGGGCUACACACGUGCUACAAUGGACGGUACAACGAGUCGCAAGCUCGCGAGAGUAAGCUAAUCUCUUAAAGCCGUUCUCAGUUCGGACUGUAGGCUGCAACUCGCCUACACGAAGUCGGAAUCGCUAGUAAUCGCGGAUCAGCAUGCCGCGGUGAAUACGUUCCCGGGCCUUGCACACACCGCCCGUCA
rnacentral:rRNA from 1 species